rnacentral:rRNA from 1 species
CCUACGGGAGGCAGCAGUGGGGGAUAUUGCACAAUGGGGGGAACCCUGAUGCAGCGACGCCGCGUGGGUGAAGGAGUGCUUCGGUAUGUAAAGCCCUAUCGGCAGGGAAGAAGCAAGACGGUACCUGACUAAGAAGCCCCGGCUAACUACGUGCCAGCAGCCGCGGUAAUACGUAGGGGGCGAGCGUUAUCCGGAUUCACUGGGUGUAAAGGGAGCGUAGACGGCCAUGCAAGCCAGGGGUGAAAGCCCGGGGCCCAACCCCGGGACUGCCCUUGGAACUGCAUGGCUGGAGUGCGGGAGGGGCAGGCGGAAUUCCUGGUGUAGCGGUGAAAUGCGUAGAUAUCAGGAGGAACACCGGCGGCGAAGGCGGCCUGCUGGACCGCGACUGACGUUGAGGCUCGAAAGCGUGGGGAGCGAACAGGAUUAGAUACCCCAGUAGUC